GACGAACGCUGGCGGCGUGCUUAACACAUGCAAGUCGUACGGUAAGGCCUUUCGUGGUACACGAGUGGCGAACGGGUGCGUAACACGUGGGUGAUCUGCCCUGCACUUCGGGAUAAGCCCGGGCAACUGGGUCUAAUACCGGAUAGGACUGCGCGGUGCAUGCCGUGUGGUGGAAAGUUUUAUCGGUGCAGGAUGGGCCCGCGGCCUAUCAGCUUGUUGGUGGGGUAAUGGCCUACCAAGGCGACGACGGGUAGCCGGCCUGAGAGGGCGACCGGCCACACUGGGACUGAGACACGGCCCAGACUCCUACGGGAGGCAGCAGUGGGGAAUAUUGCACAAUGGGCGCAAGCCUGAUGCAGCGACGCCGCGUGAGGGAUGACGGCCUUCGGGUUGUAAACCUCUUUCAGCAGGGACGAAGCGUGAGUGACGGUACCUGCAGAAGAAGCACCGGCCAACUACGUG
rnacentral:rRNA from 1 species